GGUUGAAAGUGUGAAGGAGGCUAGUUGGAACACUUGUGAGCAUAUUGGAGCCUUUCCUCUCCCUCUCUCUCACUCAUAUUGGUUGGGAUUGCAUUCUAGUGAGAUUGAGAGCCAUCUAGUGCAUUGCAUCAAGUUGUUGAUCUUUGAGGCACUAGGGAGAUCAUCAAGUGAGGUCGUUGGCUUGUUACUCUUGGAGGUUGCCGCCUCCUAGACGGCUUGGUGGUGGUUCCCCGUGAGCUCUUCAAAGGAGAUUGUGAAGAGGCCGCGGUGGUGAUUGUGAGAGGCGUUGUGCUUGCCUCGCCGGAGCGGUGAAAAACAACUCUAGUGGAAUCGAGGUUUGAGGGUUCAUUGACCAAUCCGGCUCAAGAGAUCAAGUGGAGACUUGAUAGAGGAGCGGUUGGGAGCUUUGAAUCUACCUCAACGUGGACUAGGGGUGACCGGCAAGUCAUCGACACCACGGGAAAAAAAUCAUUGUGCCACGUGUCAUCAUCUUCCCGUUGGUUUGCAACUUUCCUCACUAGCUUGUAUUUACUUGUUCAUAUACUUAUGCUAGUGAGUAUUUGUUGCUCGUGUAUGCUCUUGUAUAUCUAGUCAUACCUAUAAUAAAAUAGUUGCUCACUUGUUCUUAGCUUGUGUAGCUAAUCUGUUUUACUUAGCUUGUGUAGCUAAGUAGUUGUUUCUCUCUAGUAGUGCUUGUGCUUUGUGCUCUUUGCUUACUAGUAUGUUUAGGAGCUAUCGUUAUGCUUAAAAUUACAUUUGCAUAAUUUAUAUGUCGUUGCUAACUAGAUUUGUAUGGGAGAGCUCUUUCACUAUCUUGGCACCUUAGUUGUUUCAAUUAGAAUCUUUUGUCAGGUGUUUGUAAUAGUUAGAGGAGUGUAGUCUUGGCUAAACCAAAAUAGUUUUAAUUCCGUAUUUAUUUGUGUUAGCCAUUAUAAUUAGUUUUAGAAAGGACUAUUCACCCCCCCUCUAGUCCGCCAUCUCGACCCUACACUCUUCAAACAUGACAAACAUAUAAUGUUAGAGAAAUGGUUUAGCAUUUCUCCUGUAUGGUCUAUGCUCUAGGCAAUAUGAUAAGCUAUUGAGUGGAAUAUCUCAUUCUAUAUUGGUAGAUAUUUAUUUACUUAUUCACAAUUAAACAUAUAAUGGUCUGUAGUAAGAGUGCAUGAUCCUAGGCUACGCAAGGGUUGUUCAGAAAUCUUCUGUGCCUUUUCUUUUUAGAGAACUAGAUUUGUUUUCCCUUCUAUAUAGUUGAUUGAAGCACAUACUGAAAAAAGGGAGACUCGGUGUCAGGAGACCUAUAUUCCGUUAGCGGAAUUUUCAUCAUGUGUGCUGCUAAUCCAAUACCAAGUUGUUCCUUGCAAGAGUUCUUCCUUGUUAUUAUUUCUUGCAAGAGGGAGACUCGGUGGGUGGGGGUGUUUUUAUGGCUGCACCUUGUUUUCAAGCAUGCUGCAAUCCCUGUAGUAACUCUGACUAGGAUACGACAUUCCAUUCCUGGCUUGUACUUGCUAACUAAUAAGCUAAUAAAAAUGUGAACGAAAAUAAUGUCAUGUUCUGAACUGUCACAAAGAGUGCAUACGUCAUAACUAUUUUCAGAUAGAAUAUUUGUCGCUCCUUAGUUCAUUUUUGAACUAAUCGGUGACAAAUAAAAAAGAACGGAGGGAGUACUAAGUUAGUAGAAUGCUGGUUCACAAAUAUAUUUAUUUUGAUGUCACAAAUAGAAUUGCUCUGGUGGAAUAGCUAUUAUAUGUACUUGUAGUAUCGCUUUACAGUUGGAUGAGGCCUCACGUGCUUCUUUUGGAAUACUUGAUUUUCCUUUUGUAGGAGACUGCUGAUCAUCUUUUGUACCCAAACCCAGGAUCAGGAUUGGUUCAUGAACUACAUCUGCAAUAUUUCCAUUUUCUUGGAAGUCUACUUGGGAAGUUGUUGGAGGCUAUGGUGGAUACAAGACAAGAUGGGCUCUUUUCUUAGUAUGAACAGGUCCGACCAACUCAAUAUGCACAUAUACAGAGUAUAUCUUAAUAGCUGCUAACAUAUCAGCCAUAGUUAGUAGGGCUUACUGAACAUCAAGUUAUGAAGGAAAGUAUAAUGACUUUGUGCUUGGUCGAAUCGACAAAUGGGAAGCAAAAACAAUGUAGACCUCUAGCAAAUGUGCUGCAGUUUUUCUGCUAGGUCGAAUUGCUUGCGAUGACUUUGUGAAACUACAGCUUGUGUAGCAUGGCAAGAGUAUAACAUGUUUCAUUGCAUUGUAUUUUGUUUAGGGAGAAAUUUCCCUUGGCACACGAAUUUUGUAUAUCAUAGUAAUAUUUGUCGUAUCUAUGUUUCACACUAAA